GGGCUAUUAGCUCAGUUGGUCAGAGCUACCGGCUCAUAACCGGUUGGUCCGGGGUUCGAAUCCCUGAUAGCCCACCA
rnacentral:tRNA from 1 species